rnacentral:rRNA from 1 species
GUGGCGAACGGGUGAGUAAUACAUCGGAACGUGCCCAGUCGUGGGGGAUAACUACUCGAAAGAGUAGCUAAUACCGCAUACGAUCUGAGGAUGAAAGCGGGGGACCUUCGGGCCUCGCGCGAUUGGAGCGGCCGAUGGCAGAUUAGGUAGUUGGUGGGAUAAAAGCUUACCAAGCCGACGAUCUGUAGCUGGUCUGAGAGGACGACCAGCCACACUGGGACUGAGACACGGCCCAGACUCCUACGGGAGGCAGCAGUGGGGAAUUUUGGACAAUGGGCGAAAGCCUGAUCCAGCAAUGCCGCGUGCAGGAUGAAGGCCUUCGGGUUGUAAACUGCUUUUGUACGGAACGAAAAAGCUUCUCCUAAUACGAGAGGCCCAUGACGGUACCGUAAGAAUAAGCACCGGCUAACUACGUGCCAGCAGCCGCGGUAAUACGUAGGGUGCGAGCGUUAAUCGGAAUUACUGGGCGUAAAGCGUGCGCAGGCGGUUAUGUAAGACAGAUGUGAAAUCCCCGGGCUCAACCUGGGAACUGCAUUUGUGACUGCAUGGCUAGAGUACGGUAGAGGGGGAUGGAAUUCCGCGUGUAGCAGUGAAAUGCGUAGAUAUGCGGAGGAACACCGAUGGCGAAGGCAAUCCCCUGGACCUGUACUGACGCUCAUG